CCACAGGGAGGACCACAGAGUUAAUUGGAGUUGGUAGUGGUGUAAUUAAGGCAGCACAAUCCAUUCCUAUUACAGUACAGAUUGGUUGUGAUGAUGUGUUACUAAAUAUUUGGAUGUCUAAAACACAUGAAGACUCAAUCCUUGGAUCUUAUGUUAUGAAGGACAAUAACUACAUUGUUGAUCUUGCUAAUCAAACUCUCUGGAAGAGUGAAGCAGAUGUGGGGGCUUGUGUGAUUAUUCCUGACAGGCAUGCAGUAGCUAGAGUUAAAGGUGUGCUUGCAUAUGAUUUGCCUAUGCUUUUGGGUACAGAAAACAAAAUGCUUGCUGAAGUAUUAAUGUGACAUGAUGCUGUCUGGGCUAGGCACAAACAUGAUUGUGGCAGAGUAACAAACAUGGAAGUACAUGUACAAGGCAUUGACCCCCCCCACCGCAGCGGCAGUAUAAGUAUCCCAGGGAAGCAGAAAUGGAAAUUUCCCAAGUCAUUGAAUCUUUGCAAAGUCAAGGAAUACUAUGUAAAUGUGAGUCAAGUGUGAACUCUCCAGUGUGGCCUGUAAGAAAGCCAGACAAUUAUAGGAAAUUAACUUGAUUACAGACAGAUUAACUCUACUACGCCUCCUGCAAAGGCUGUAGUAUCCAGAACCCCUGACAUCAUGGCUAAUUUACAGAGCACAAAUAAUAUGCAUUUGAUCAAGGUUUACUGUCUGCUUUGCUGACAAUGACCAUUUGGUUUCCUUGAUCACAUCAUAUGCAUGCAAAAUAAUGUGUAUUUGUCUGCCUGUCACCCAAUCAGGGACAGGUACCUCCAUUUUACUUCAGGAGGUUUGGGGCAUAAAAGCUCAUUCUUUUCUAACAUGAUUUUGUAAUUGUCCUGCCUUGCUUUUACCCAGUAUGCUUCAUACUGUAAUGAAAAACUAUUUUUGCUAUAGUAAAUCCUGUGUCCACUUUCACUUUCACUAUCGUUUGAAAAACAACAGCUUCUUUGAAAACACAUCUUCUUUGUGCUUGCAGUUAAACUUGCACUUUGUUGCCAGCUGACAACCUAACCGGGUGGAACAAUUCUCAUUUGUGUGGUUGAGGAGCGGACCAGUCGCGGAACACAAGAACUGCACUUCACGGUGACGGGAUUUUGCCGGGCGGAACAGUAAUGGAAUUGGAGGGUCCUAUCCAGCUGGUUGAAUGUUCACGGGACGGUGAGAUUCGGGUGAACCCCGAGGCCAUUCGGACCCUGUCCCAACUUCCUCCACCACUUCGGGUGGUGAGCAUCUUUGGACCUCGCCAGACCGGGAAGUCUUUCCUGCUGAAUGCCCUGGCGGGCAGCACAGGGUUCUCAGUCUCCAAGGGAAGCAAUCACAAAGAACUGUCCAUCAAUAUGUGGGUUCUGCCAGUCACAGAGGAUCCAUAUUACACCCUGAUCCUAUUGGACACUGAGGGCUAUGAGGAGGACCUGGAUAUUGAAGCUGCUGCAUUUACCUGCCCAAUUUUCACUCUGUCGGUGCUGCUCAGCUCCGUGUUCCUGUACAACAGCUGGGGCCCUGUGAGUACGGACGUCCUGGACCAGCUCCUUCAUAUAACGACGCUGACCAAUCAGGUUAACCUGCCUGCCAUUGGCUUGGCAGGGGAGAGUCUCCUGCCAAAGUUUGUGUGGUGUGUACGAGACUUUGACGCGGGCAUGGUGAUGGGAGACGUGGAGCUGGUGCCCGAGGACUUCUUAGAUUCUGUCUUCAAUGACGCCAAAGACUUGCAGUCUCCCUCCGGCAUCAUUUGUAAGCUUUUCUCCCGGGACAGGAUGGAGAUCUUUACUUUCUGCCACCCUCAGGAUGGUGCCGAGCCUUUGGAGGGGAUCUCGAUGUGUAUGCUUGAGCCCAGCUUUCUCAGGCAGGCCUAUGUCCUGAAAAGAAGCUUCUCCAGGAGUAGCCCCAAAGUCUUCCAGGAUUAUCAAGCCCUGAGUGGCAGAGAGCUGGGAGACAUUUUGGAGCAGUUUGUGGACAGCAUGUCAAGAGGAUCCCUGAUCCAGCUGGACCUGGUCUUGUCCAGGGACCGUGAGGUCCCCACAGAGGAGCAAGAGGUCCCUCCAAAGUGGCAAGAGUUCUCCGUAAAGAAGCAAGAGGUCCCUACAAAAUGGCAACAACCUGUGGUGGAAAAUGUGAUGCCACUGAGAGAAGCACCGGCAGAUCGACCCAGAGCGGCCUCUGCAUCCGAUGGAGCAGGCAAAAUACCGGUGGGACAUCCUGUGGACAUGGAGAAGCCAGUCUGUCUGAUUGAGAACACAAGUGCAGGUGAACUGCAGGUGAACCAGGAAGCCCUGAAGAUUCUGAACUCCAUCAGGCAGCCUGUAGUGGUGGUGUCCAUCGUAGGGAUGUACCGCACGGGUAAAUCGUAUCUGAUGAACAGACUGGCUGGGAAGCAGACAGGGUUCUCCUUGGGCUCCACUGUCCAGGCUGAGACGAAGGGCAUCUGGAUGUGGUGUGUGCCCCACCCUCAUAGAGAUAACCAAACUCUGGUCCUGCUGGACACUGAGGGUUUGGGGGACGUUGAAAAGGGAGACUCGAAGAAUGACAUCUGGAUCUUUUCCCUGGCUGUCCUCCUGAGCAGCACGUUCAUCUACAACAGCAUGGGCAACAUCAACAAUGAAGCUGUGAUGAGCCUGCACUAUGUGACAGAGCUAACAAAGCACAUCAAGGUGAAGUCCAUCAAGGAGAAGGAGGAAGAUACGACUACCGACUAUGUCCGUUUCUUCCCCAACUUUGUCUGGGCUGUGAGAGACUUCACUCUGGAGCUGAUGAUCGAUGGAAAGGCUGCCACUGCUGACCAGUACCUGGAGAACUCCCUGAAGCUAAAAAAUGGUGCUAGUAAAGCAGUUAUCAUCAGUAAUGAUGCCCGGGAAUGCAUCCGGAACUACUUCCAGGAUCGGAAGUGCUUUGUGUUCGACCAUCCCGGCUCCAAGGAGCAGCUGAAGGAGCUGGAUAAACUGCCAGAUUCAAAACUGGACCCUCGAUUUGUGGAACAAACAUCUGCUUUCUGCGACUAUGUUUUCAGCUGUUCCAAGGAGAAGACCAUGAAAGGGGGAAUCUCAGUCACCGGGAACUUGCUAGGGAACCUGGCGGUGACGUACGUGGACGCCAUUCGGUGCGGGAGUGUUCCGUGUUUGGAGAACGCAGUGGACGCGCUGUCUCAGAUCGAGAACUCGGAGGCGAUCGAGGAGUCUUUCGCCCUCUACAGACGGCUGCUGGGAGAGCGGGUGAAACUGCACACUGAGACUCGGGAGGAGCUCUCCAGAGUUCACGACGGCUGCCUGAAGGAGGCACUGCAGCUCUUCAUGAAACGUUCCUUCAAGGACGAGGACCACAAAUAUCAAGAGGCACUCAUGGAGCGGGUAAAAGCUGAAUACGACCAGAAGUGUAGAAACAACGAGGAUAUGUCCCGGGAUUUCUGCGCAGCUCUGCUCUUCCAGCUGGAAGACGACAUUCAUAUGGGUCCAGAGGAACGCUACAUGAAGCCAGGGGGAUAUAAUCGCUUUAAGGCUGACCUGAAGAAUUUAGUUAGUUUAUACAAAAACAAGCCGGCCAAAGGUGUGAAGGCAGAGGAAGCCUUGAAUGACUACCUCAUGGAGAAAAACGAACGGGACAAAAUGAUUUUGACAGCAGAUAGAAAUCUGUCAGCACAAGAGAGGCGUCUUGAGGACAGCCCAGGCAGAGAGGGAGAGGCAGAGAGCAGAGGCAGAAAGAGAAAAGCAGAGGGCCCUGGAAGAAAAGAUAAAUGAUAUAGAAAGAGCUCGCCGGGAGAACGAGAGACAACUGAGGGAGAAAAUGGAGAGAGAUCGGAUAACGUUAAUGCAGGAAAACCAGAGAGUAAUGGACCAGAGACUGAGGGAGCAGCGUGCGCUGAUGGAUGAAGGACAGAAUCAGAAGGCCGCACAGUGGGAAGCGGAGAUCCGGCAGUUGCGGGAUCAGAUCGGCUCGCAGAGAAACACCAGAAGAAGAGGAGUCUGUGUCCUGUCCUGAGUCCAGU